rnacentral:rRNA from 1 species
AGCGAACGCUGGCGGCAGGCCUACACAUGCAAGUCGAACGAAGUCUUCGGACUUAGCGGCGGACGGGUGAGUAACACGUGGGAACGUGCCUUUAGGUUCGGAAUAACUCAGGGAAACUUGUGCUAAUACCGAAUGUGCCCUUCGGGGGAAAGAUUUAUCGCCUUUAGAGCGGCCCGCGUCUGAUUAGCUAGUUGGUGAGGUAAAGGCUCACCAAGGCGACGAUCAGAAGCUGGUCUGAGAGGAUGAGCAGCCACAUUGGGACGGAGACACGGCCAAAAGUCCUACGGGAGGCAGCAGUGGGGAAUCUUGCGCAAUGGGCGAAAGCCUGACGCAGCCAUGCCGCGUGAAUGAUGAAGGUCUUAGGAUUGUAAAAUUCUUUCACCGGGGACGAUAAUGACGGUACCCGGAGAAGAAGCCCCGGCUAACUUCGUGCCAGCCGCCGCGGUAAAAC